rnacentral:rRNA from 1 species
AUUGAACGCUGGCGGCAGGCCUAACACAUGCAAGUCGAACGAGUGGCGGACGGGUGAGUAAUGCCUGGGAAACUGCCCUAUGGAGGGGGAUAACUACUGGAAACUGUAGCUAAUACCGCAUACCAUCGGAUGAGCCCUGAUGGGAUUAGCUAGUAGGUGGGGUAAAGGCUCACCAAGUCGACGAUCCCUAGCUGGUCUGAGAGGAUGACCAGCCACAAUGGGACUGAGACACGGUCCAGACUCCUACGGGAGGCAGCAGUGGGGAAUAUGGCGCAAUGGGGGCAAGCCUGAUGCAGCCAUGCCGCGUGAAUGAAGAAGGCCUUCGGGUUGUAAAGUACUUUCAGCAGGGAGGCGUUAAUUGCAGAAGAAGCACCGGCUAACUCCGUGCCAGCAGCCGCGGUAAUUC